GAUGAAUAAGAGAUACUUACAGAAAGCAACAAAAGGAAAACUGCUAAUAAUAAUAUUUGUUGUAACGCUGUGGGGGAAAUUAGCAUCUGGGGCAAAUCAUCAUAAAGCUCACCAUGUUAAAACUGGGACCUGUGAAGUGGUGGCGCUUCACAGAUGCUGCAAUAAGAAUAAGAUAGAAGAAAGAUCACAGACGGUGAAGUGUUCCUGCUUCCCUGGGCAGGUAGCAGGUACCACCCGGGCAGCUCCUUCUUGUGUUGAUGCUUCAAUAGUGGAGCAGAAAUGGUGGUGCCACAUGCAACCGUGUCUUGAAGGGGAGGAAUGUAAAGUUCUUCCAGAUCGUAAGGGAUGGAGCUGUUCCUCUGGGAAUAAAGUGAAAACAACUAGGCUGUGGCAGUACUCCUGGAGCCAAAUGUGAGUGCAGUUCCUCAAAAUGCCAGCAGUGGAAGCUGGUAGGCAAGUGGGGAAAAAUCACCAGAGGAAUCUCUGAAGCUUGGGACAAAGGCAGAAAACACAUCAGUACUGCACUAACAGAACAGCAGGUACUCUUAUAGAGAAGAUAAAAUUACAGGCAAACGUGUAAAAUUCCUGAAGUCCGAAUGGAGAAGUAGAGAAAGGAGGUUUCUGCUGUGCCUGAUGACAAUUUUUGUUUUUUCCACACACAAAAAAUAUUCUGGCUCCACGUUGGAGCACUAGUUGUGAUGAAUCCUAGUCUUGAUUGGAUUCUAAGGAAGGGCCAGAACGUUCGUUGAGGAAUAAAGAGUCAAACCACUCCAGAAAAUGUGUUCCAGCCCCGGUUUAUUACUCACAGAGCAGCAGGCUUUUAAUAUUUUAGAGAAAAAUGGAAGGGGUGCCAAGAUGACUUUGUCUCAUGAAGUUCCACGUAGCUUAGGGUAACCCGAUAGCUAAAGAGAAAUCAAGCCAGUCUCAAGGCUGAUAACAUUAAAUACAACACACAGGAAUUUCAUUCCUCCAGGCAAUCCUUGAAGUGAAAUUUUAUACUGCUGGGGUGUAUCCUUCAGAAUCAAUUGUUUCAAUGAGAACCUGGCUUGUAAUCAGCAACAGCCUUGAGAUCUAAACUACUGGAAAGUUAUUUUGAACUUCUGUGUCACAAAUAUUUCAACUGAUUGAACUGUGUACACUUGUAAAAUUGCACUUGCUGAAGGAAUUUGCAGCUGUAAUCACGAGCUGAUAUUCUAAAGGUGCAGAAAAGCAGCAAACUUUUGGGUUCUCCGUUGCAGAUCAGUGGCUUUUCAUCUUGAUGAAGUCAACCUCUGAAAUGUAUUGGAUCUUUCACUUUAAAAUGAUCCCUGGUCCACUCUUCAGAUUGCUGGUGGGACUGCACACUGCUUUAAUUAAAUUUCUGUUGCAGAAAUUGUCCUCUGGCAUGGCGCAGUUUUAGACAUUUUUAUUUGUGUUCUAAUCUUGCAGCUCUCAAAGGUACAUAUUUCAACAUCUUGAAGUUGCUUUGUUAUAGGAAUGGAAUUAUAUAUCCAUUGUUAAUAAUUAUUGUUGACAAGUAAUAGUUAUCUGAAGACAUCAGUCAUAUUAGAAUGUACAGUCAAGUUAACAUGUUUUUCCCUAAGGCUAACCAACUACUGCAGCUUAACAGUUAAAGAAAGUAGUGGUCAAAACUCAAUUACCACUUUCAUUAUAAGGCAUUUUAUAUCUUUAAGAUAUACAUUUCCAUUUAGUUUGAAGGAAAUGGGUGUUCCCAAAAUGUACUUUACUUUCCUAACCUUUAAUUCAUUUAAAUUAAUGGUAAGCAGUCAAUUACAGCAUUUCAUCCCUUUUUUUAUAAAGGUAGGCAGGGAUGUAAAUGAGUUUUGCAAUUAUGAUAUUGGAUGGUAAUCAUUCAGAAUUUUUGUCUUUUUAUUAAAAAAUAAAAUCUCUUGCUUGAACCUAAGUACUGAUGGAUGCUUAUGUAGAUGUCUGCUCAGUCUGUUUGCUAUAAAGGAAAAAAGUCCUAAUGCUCUCCCAGAUUUACCUAGUUCAUGGGUAGUUUGCUUGCUUACAGUCAUCCAAUUCAGAUCUGACCCUUGCCAGAAUUUCAUUUUCUUUGUUUUGUAUUGUUUUGUUAGAAAUUCUUGAACUUUGCAAUGUGCUGUUACAUGAAAGAAAUCCUCAAUAUUUAAAGGCCUUAAACGUCUUUGAGCUUUUUUCUAAGUUAUUACAGAAUGUAUAAUUUUAUACUUCAUUUAAUAUAUAUUGUACCAUCUGUAAUGUUGAUACAAAAGAAAUUUGGCAAUUUCUUUUAGUGACACUGCCUAAACAUACUGACUAGAGGGGGUUCUGACUGUAUGCUUUGGUGAAUUGAAAUGAAAGCCACACACACUUAAUGGUAGUCAAAAAUAUAUAGAGGUAAGCUUAUUUAAGUCCUUUGUGGUUACCAGACACAGCAAACCAAAAAAAAAAAAAAAAAAUAGAAGGAAAUUAUUUUAACUUUACAAGCCAUUGAUGUGGCUAGUUUAGUUAUAUAUUAUGCUCCAUGAUGGAUGAACACCUUGGAGUGCUCUGCCUGUAGCCCCUGCUGUUCACUGUAGCCCCUGCUGUUCCAAAACCAUUUCAUUACCUCUGCUCUACUAUUGCACAGGAGAGCUUAAAUAAAAUAAAUGACUAUUGGGAAUAAAAUUGAGAAGUAUAUUCUAUAUUCUGCGGGGAAAUAAUAAAAAAAAUGUUGACAGAAAAAGAUCUUAUUUUCUGAUUAAAAUUUAAUUAGAAUAAACUGUUUGUAGCAGAAACUAGGUAUCUUGGUAUUUUAGGAUGGAUUAGUAUUAUAUGGAUUUGUGCUAACAGGUUCAGAAAGGAAGGUAGCAUCUUAAAGAGGUUGUCUGGGACAGUGCAAAGUAUAAAUGUGCUGUUUUGUAAAAUCUGAAUAUGGCCUCUAUUUGGUCGAAAAUCUAUAUCAUGCUUCUCAAUACUUGUUUUCUUUGUUUCCUUGUUCUUAAACAGCUCUGAAAAUACUGUAUUAUAUACAAGUGUAACACAUGCAUACCAAUAAAUGAAAAUAAAUGGAUUUUCAAAUAUACUGAAUAGAUUAUCUGCACUAGAUAAAUGUUGUGACUAUUCAUAGCAAGUGAAUAAAAUUGUAAUAUAAAAUAGAGUUCCCUGUAUGGAUGUGCAUUUUGGAGAUCUAUUCUGUUUACUCAUGGAACAAAAUAAUUUUUUAGUGAAUAAGAAUCUCAAAGGUUAUAUUAACUUUAUAUUUCUUCAGUAGAGCUGAGAAUACCUCCUACCACUUUGAAAUGUCCUUUUUGAAAGGAACUGAUACCUAUGGCAAAUUCUGGUGGGUGUACUGUUGUUUUCAGGUCAGACUGAGUAAAAUUUUUUUUCUUCCCAAAAUGUGAAUCCUGAAAACUUAUAAUUUAGAUGUUUUAAGUAGCAACAAGACGUGAUGGACAAUCCUGAAAAAGUAAUGUUUCAGGUUAAUUUGUGGAACUGUUUAAAAGAAAAAUGAAAAAGCGCCCUUUUAUCAGAUGUGCUUGUGCAGCUUGAAGCAAGAUGGGAAGCAAGCAGGUUUGGUGCUCCUUUGAAAACGGAGUACAGGUGACUGGAUCAGCUAUGUGCAUUCAUGUUGUAGGCAUGUGAAUUGCUUCAAUUAAUCAUUUGUUCCUUAUAUACUACUUUCUAGAUUAUUUCAUCUGAUUACAAAAGUGAUCAGGCAUUAUGAUUAGAGUUACCCUUCGAAUUGAAUAAUCAUCAAGAACUCUGAACUGCAGAAUAUACAUUUCAGUUUUGCAGUUCCAAGUGGCAGUGCAUUGAGAGGGAAAGAAAAAUCACAGCUUUGUUCAUACCUUUCACAGUUAAAUGUAUUGGAUCAGUUCAACAAAGCAUAAAAGGAAAUUCUGAUAAGAAUCUUAAUGAAAAAAUAUUCUAUAUCAGAUCAAUUAAAUCUAAAAUAGAGCUUAAAAAACAUUCAAGUCUAGAUCUUGCUUGUAUCUGGUUUAUUGGUCAUAAUGAACCUUUAAAACAGCACUGCUGCAGAUACCACUGUUGCUACCUAUAAAUACAACUAUUGUGCUAUAUAUAUUAAAUUUUUGUAUUUAUCCUGUGUCUUUUAAGUCUUGUCUCCUUCAGCUCUGCCUAAAAAUGUUACUGGUGUAGCAUUUCAGUAACUUCACCAAACUAAUGCAGCUCUGUUUUGUGCAGAAUCUAUAUGCUUUAAGAGUGCAUCAGAUACAUUUAUUUUGAAACUAAAAAAUCUGAUAUAAAGCAUUUUAUUGUGUUAGAUUUCAUAAAAAUAUAUGCAGUGGUUUUUUGCUCAUUAUAAUUGUACAGCUGGCUUUUAUAAUUUCUAGGUAAUGCAUGGAAGUCUGUAACAACAAAACAGAAAUAUGUGAUUGGCAUCCUUUUCUGUUGAUUCACUGUCUCCUCCUUCAUGCCUCAAAUUUUACACAUCUGUUGUUCACAAGGAUAUUGGCAAAGAAAAGGAGCACAGUUUUGAUUUGCAAGAGAAGUGUUGCCUUAAUUUCUAGUUUCUUUUUGCCAAACCUGUGACACCUGAAGGAUCUGAUGCAAUAAAUGAUUUCUCAUGGA